ACUCCUACGGGAGGCAGCAGUGGGGAAUAUUGGACAAUGGGGGAAACCCUGAUCCAGCCAUGCCGCGUGUGUGAAGAAGGCCUUCGGGUUGUAAAGCACUUUCAGUGGGGAGGAAAGGUUGAUGGUUAAUACCUAUCAGCUGUGACGUUACCCACAGAAGAAGCACCGGCUAACUUCGUGCCAGCAGCCGCGGUAAUACGAAGGGGGCUAGCGUUGUUCGGAUUUACUGGGCGUAAAGCGCACGUAGGCGGACUUUUAAGUCAGGGGUGAAAUCCCGGGGCUCAACCCCGGAACUGCCUUUGAUACUGGAAGUCUUGAGUAUGGUAGAGGUGAGUGGAAUUCCGAGUGUAGAGGUGAAAUUCGUAGAUAUUCGGAGGAACACCAGUGGCGAAGGCGGCUCACUGGACCAUUACUGACGCUGAGGUGCGAAAGCGUGGGGAGCAAACAGGAUUAGAUA
rnacentral:rRNA from 1 species